CAUAUCCAAUUUUGUCGUUUUGAAGUUUUCUUCCUGAAUCUAUUCUCUUUGGAACAACGUGUGCAUGAACUAUAGGAGAAGAACAACAAAAACCGUCCAUAGAAUUUCUAUCCCAAGAAUGAUUGUCAUAAUUCGUCAAGUUCUUAAAAGGAUACUUCGAUGUUCAUUAGGAAUCGUGAAGCCGUGCCUCGCGCUACUCUUGUGUUCAUACCAGGUCAUCAUGACGCCGAAUGAUCAGAUUAAAGCUAAAGCUGUUGAACAUAAUGAUUUGGAAGUAAAACCCCCAGUUCUGUGCUCCGAGGAUGCAGCAGAUGACCAUUUGGUUUAGGGAAAGAAUAUAUAACCUCUGAAGAGGAUCAACCAAGAACUUUAAAAUCAUAAUUCGUUAAAAAACGUAACUAGAAACAUGCUAUAUAAUAGUUGUGAUUAGCUGACGAAGUCUAAGGUUCAUAUACUAAUUAACAUAUCGCUAAGAGAGUUCUUGUUAAUUGUGUAAGGCACAGCCGUCAUUUUGUUAUCUAUAAACCAUCAAAACUGUAAAGGCA